CACGUAGGGGGCAAGCGUUGUCCGGAUUUAUUGGGCGUAAAGAGCUCGUAGGCGGCUUGUUGCGUCGACCGUGAAAACCCGCGGCUUAACUGCGGGCUUGCGGUCGAUACGGGCAUCACUGGAGUUCGGCAGGGGAGACUGGAAUUCCUGGUGUAGCGGUGAAAUGCGCAGAUAUCAGGAGGAACACCGGUGGCGAAGGCGGGUCUCUGGGCCGAUACUGACGCUGAGGAGCGAAAGCGUGGGGAGCGAACAGG
rnacentral:rRNA from 1 species